rnacentral:lncRNA from 1 species
AAUGAAUAAAAUCAAAGCCAUGGCAAACUUCAAGAUGUCUAAAAUACACAUGCCAAAUUUCAAGUUCAUCCAGUAAACACCAAGGAUUUCACAAAUCAUAUGAUAUCAUGACUCACAAAAUGUUCACAAUUGACCAAACAGAGGGAAAAUUCUAAAACAAAUAGAAAAUGCAUUCAAAUAUUCCAGGAAAAAUCACAAGCAAACUAGACAUCCAUAAGUAUUAGCAUGAAAAAAUCCAGAGCAAUUGGUAUAGCAUAAGAAUGGA